CGCCAGGUGUCACUGUAGGCGUUCCUGCUGAUUCAAUUUGCGCCGGUGCCGUUCGGAGCAGUGUCGUGCGGUGAAAGUGGGUGAAAUAUUGAGGAAGUAGUGGGUCACAUGUGUCAUAAUACCUAAAUUUGGAAGAAAAUGGCCCAGUGUAGUGUCUAUGGCUGCUCGGAGAAUGGUGAGUUUGUAUUUUCUCGCGACAAGAGGCCGAGGAAGAUAGAUAUGGCUCAGGCUGCAACGGAUUUCAUCCCACCAAACACUUGAUUGUGUGUCGGAAGCAUUUCACCGACGAUGAUUUUUUGGAAAAUACUGCCUACGGUACAAGAAUGGGCUCAACAGGCAGAGGAAAUGGAGAAGAGUGCACCACCUCCACCAAACGUUGCUGCUUAUGAAGAGUGCAACACUGAAGGGGGGUGUGCUGCACCACUGCGGGGCUAUCUGAUGGUGCUGUCAAUAUCAGCACCAGGCAGGGUUCAAUGUCCAAGAUCUGUUAGCCUGUUGUGAUGUACGUGUCAUAACACCAGCGUUCCUUAAAGUGAAGUCCCAGCUCUCU
rnacentral:lncRNA from 1 species